rnacentral:rRNA from 1 species
UACGGAGGAUGCGAGCGUUAUCCGGAUUUAUUGGGUUUAAAGGGUGCGUAGGCGGACAAAUAAGUCAGUGGUGAAACCCUGCAGCUUAACUGUAGAUGUGCCGUUGAUACUGUUAGUCUUGAGUAUGGUCAAGGUAGGCGGAAUGUGUAAUGUAGCGGUGAAAUGCUUAGAUAUUACACAGAACACCGAUUGCGAAGGCAGCUUGCUGGGCCAAUACUGACGCUGAUGCACGAAAGCGUGGGGAUCGAACAGG